GCCUCCAGGCAUCUGCAUCUGGGACCUCACUUCUGGGCUGGCUAAUCAAGGAGGAGGAAGCAACAAUGUCUGCUGUGGGGGCUGCAGCUCCUUACCUGCAUCAUCCUGGUGACAGUUCCAGUAGCCGGGUGAGUUUCCUGGGGGCCCAGCUCCCUCCAGAGGUGGCAGCAAUGGCCCGGCUACUAGGAGACCUGGACAGGAGCACUUUCAGAAAGCUGCUGAAGCUUGUGGUUAGCAGCCUGCAGGGGGAGGACUGCCGAGAGGCUGUGCAGCGUCUUGGGGCCAGCACCAACCUGCCAGAGGAGCGGCUGGGUGCCCUUCUUGCGGGCAUGUACACGCUGCUCCAGCAGGCCCUCCGGCUGCCCCCUACCAGCCUAAAGCCUGAUGCCUUCAGGGAUCAGCUCCAGGAGCUCUCCAUCCCCCAAGAUCUGGUUGGGGAUUUGGCCAGCGUGGUGUUUGGGAGCCAGAGGCCCCUCCUUGACUCUGUGGCCCAGCAGCAGGGGGCCUGGCUGCCCCACAUUGCUGACUUUCGGUGGCGGGUGGAUGUGGCAAUCUCUACCAGUGCCCUGGCCCGCUCCCUGCAGCCGAGCGUCCUGAUGCAGCUGAAACUUUCGGAUGGGUCAGCACACCGCUUCGAGGUCCCUACAGCCAAGUUCCAGGAGCUGCGGUACAGUGUGGCUCUGGUCCUAAAAGAGAUGGCAGAUCUGGAGAAGAGGUGUGAGCGCAAAUUGCAGGACUGAACCCUUUCUUGUCCAGUCCCAUUCGGGUCAGGCUUGGAAAGGUGCCUCAAAUAGUACCAAAGCAGAGACGGUUCUUCCUAGAACAACCCUGCUCUUCCCAUGAGAUGGACUCUUCAAGCAAUGUCUGAAGUGGAUUCAAAACCUUUGCCACACCCCUCACAUCUCUGGGAAGUCCCUUCUGUAUUCUCUCUCUGAUUUUUAUUAGGUUGACAAUCUAAGCCACUGCCUCCCAGCUCCUUAUGUCCCUG